rnacentral:rRNA from 1 species
UACGAAGGGGGCUAGCGUUGCUCGGAAUUACUGGGCGUAAAGGGCGCGAGUAGGCGGGUCGUUUAGUUAGAGGUGAAAGCCCAGGGCUCAACCCUGGAAUUGCCUUUAAUACUGGCGGCCUUGAGUAUGGCAGAGGUGUGUGGAACUCCGAGUGUAGAGGUGAAAUUCGUAGAUAUUCGGAAGAACACCAGUGGCGAAGGCGACACACUGGGCCAUUACUGACGCUGAGGCGCGAAAGCGUGGGGAGCAAACAGGG